rnacentral:lncRNA from 1 species
CUGUGGAACCUGGAAGGAUCAGGAUUCCUGAAAAUUUAAACCAGAACUCAGAUAUUCCAGUAAUUGCUCAUCAAGUGCCCACUAGUAGCUAAGCAUCUGCUACACAACAGCAUACAAAGUCUGGAAGGUCCAAAUUGGAUGUUUACUUGCAGUGAAUAUGUUUUUAAUGGUUUGUUAUAUUCAGAGGAUCAUAACUUCAAAGAUGGUCAUCAAUUAAUUCACAAAGAUAAUGUCAGAAGCAGGAUCCAAAGUGGAGCUUCUAGUGACCCCCAGGAGUGCUGAGUAAACACGCAAGGUACCUGCAGGACCCACUUGUGUCCAUUGAUCUCUCAGAGCAGCUGGGCAUCGUGGGUAAAGACCUUCACAAUCGGGAACCCGUAGAUUGGAUCUUCUGAAAACAUCAGAGAAAGACUAUCUUUGCCAUCCACACUACAGUAAAACUUUGGAGCCUUGAACCUUGGAUUUAUAAUCUCACAACUGAGAAGGGUCCCUCCAUACUCCUGGAACUGUACACCCAUUGGAACUCUUAAGGAUGAUAUACAUGGCCAGGUGAAGACAGUAGAGAGAAAACAGAACUGAAACCAGAGAGCCCUCUACAGAAGGAUGUAAUGGAUAAUUAUUGGUAUACAGUGAGGUUCAUAACCAAAAACAAAAGUUCUCUCCAUGAGACCUGGAAUCUGUAAACUGUCUUCUGGCUAAGGAAUCUGAAACUUAGGAUAAACAACUUGCCUAAUUUCUUAUGAUGGAGAUGUAAUAGUGGUUGGAAUUUGGACCUAUUCCUUCUGAUUCUGGAGCUCACCAGUUAACCACUCUGCUAAACUGCCUCCCCAAGAGGGAAUCACAAGUUCAAAUUCCAGGAGAGUUGGAUCAGCCUUUCCUCUCUGGCAGCCAGGCAAAGCGAGGGUCAUGCGAUCUACUCAGCACUUUGGGAUGUGACUUCAAAACCAAAGAACAAGGUGCACAUUUUGAGAAACGUGUACUCCUUGUUUAUGUGGCUGCUUCUUUAACAGAGUGAGGGAUAUGUACUUACUGGACACAGUUUUGGUUAGCCCAGCAUCACGUUUUUUUCUGGAAACCUCACCCCACUUUUUAUGUGGUUGUAGGAAUUCCCCCACCCCCUGCCAGUACAACGGCUCUUCUUUGGCUCUAGUGGAUUGGAACAGGGCAGGCCCCUCCCAAGAGCCAGUGACCAAGUAUGGUGGGGACAUUGAGGCAGACCUAUUUCUGAGAAACACAGAAAUUUGUUGGGCAACUGUAUUGCCCAACUUUGGCUCAAAAACUCCAUGAUGACUUUGCUGAACUUUCCUUAGACCAUAGACCCACCAAAAAUGUUUCCAACCAAUCUACUCUCUCUCUCUCCUUCCCUUGGGGUUAGGCUUGCCUUGCAAUCUGAUGGCUUUGCCUAUCCUCCCCUAUUUCUGUUCACACAUUAAUUCCCCCUAAUAAAACCCCUGCUCAUUUAACACCUUCUCAUCUUCUGUUUCUUGGAGGACCUCAUCUUAUGCAUCUGGUUUAAAUCCUAGCUCUCCCACACAGUAGUCGUGUGACCUUUGAUAAUCACUACAUUGUGCUGUCCUCAAUUUCCUCUUCUGUAAAAUGAAAGUGUGGGGUAAGAGCACCUACAUCACAGUGGUGUUAUAAUUGGAUGUAAUAACCCUCAGUCAUUUACCUGGCAUGCGGUAUAGUUGUAUGCAGGAGAGUCUACUGUUUAGAAAAACCUUGAACCUAAUUGUUAGCACCAUCAGUCUGUUCUGGCUUGUGUGCUGUAAGAGCCCUCUCUGGGUCUACAUUUGCUCAAGCAUUGAUGUUCUGUAGAGUAAAUUCUGCAUGUUUGUCUCUCCACUAAAACAUAAGUUCCUUGAGAGCAGGUAGCAUAUUUCCUUCACUUCUAUAUCCUCUCCAGAUCCAAGCAAAGUGUUUGAGCAAAGUGGCAAACCAGGAAAUGCUCAUUUAAUGGAUGCGAAUUUCCUGCAGGAAUGAUGGAAUGGAGUUCAGGUCAACAGCAAAUAUUGCAUGGCUGCUUACUUUCUUCCUGUGGUAUUCUCUACAAGGACAAAUAGCACAGAACCCCCUGCCAUCUCAUACAAGUGACAGAUUGUAUAUGCGUUGGCAAGCUUGGGCUUGAAGUUUUUGGUGACACAAGACUGGCUUCUACUUCAGGAGACCAACUUCUUUUUCACAUAGCUCCAAUUUUCAGAGACAUUCUAUAACAAGUGAAGAGAUGAAGGAGAAAACUGGCUUGGGCCCAAUAUUCAGUAUGGUUGGAAACCACUUCAAGGAAGAGGUGCAAAUAUAUUCUAACUUAGAAGGAGGUAAGAAUCAGCAGAAAAGAAGGAAUCUUUGGAGAGCCAAAACCAUCUCUACACCAAAUUGAGAGACUGGAAUUAUAAGGUGAAUGCAAUUAACUGGCAGUCGCAUCCAUGUUGAGAACACAGUCAUCCCUUUAAUAGAGAACAUUUGCUGUGCUUGACAAACUCACAGUGAAAUGGUUGGAUCCAUAGGAAGCAACAUGCUGAAAAUGGUUUCAAUAUGAUCCUGUUUUUUCACUCAAUAGCCAUUGAUUGAGGGUGUCCAGCCAAAAACAAUGAGAAAAUGAGCCAACAAUAGUCUUACCCUUUGACCAUAUUAGAUAAAGUCGCAGCUGAAAUUUGUUAUAUGUUUCAGGAAUAACAAAGCAUCCAUAUGGAACAUAUAUUUGGCAGUGUGGCAGCUGAUGAAACCAGGAAAAUUAGACAAAUUAUCAAUUGCUCGCUCCCAAAUUACCCCAAAAAGAAAUUAGAUCCAUUUUCAGUAGCUUUGCCUUCAAAUUUCUUCAUUCCGUGAGUCACCACUACCUUCUGCCAAACUAAAUAUGUCUAUGAACGGCUGGAAACUUUAAUGGAAAGAAACAUAAAACUCAAACUACGUAGGAAAAUUUAAGCUUCUUCAUGGAAGAUCUUCGUGGAAGACUAGCAAGUUAGGAAUGUGUGAAGACAGACAACACAUCGAUAAUUCCUUUUGUUUGGGGUCACUUCUGAGUUAGAGAGCAAUGCAACAUGCUGGCUUGACUUCAAAUUAAAAUCAGCUUUUUCCUUUAUUUCUUUUGUAAGCCUCCAAUCCCUCAAACUACUAGGGUUUAUUAAGGUACACAGUCCUACAGUCAGGUCGAUCAGAUUUGGGAUAAAGAGACUUCAUGAUGUUAUCCGAUGGAUGGUAGAAAUUAGUAAAUGAAGAUUUCAUGAAUGGCUAA